CCUCCUCUCACUCUCUUUUCUCUCUUUUUAUCUUUUCUUCUUCAGAUUUCCCGAUCUGGUUUUCAAGCCCACUUCUUACUCCGUAGAUUUUUCGAUCUGAUUUGGUUUCAAUUCCAGGGUUUUCAUUUUCUUAUCAAACCCACUUUUCCCCUGUAGAUUAUUUUCUCUGUAGAUUUUCCGAUCUGGUUUGGUUUCAGUUCUCAUAUUUUCGUUUUUUUUCUUCUUCUAUCAAUUAAAGUUGGGUUUUGAAGUUAGGAUUUCAUUUUCGAUCUGAGUUGUGUAUUUUUUAGAUUUUUGAAGUUAGGGUACAAACUAUAUCAUGUAAACCUAGGGGUUGCUGUUUAAUUUUUUUCCCUAUUUUUCAUUAUGGCAGAGAAAUCAAAAAUGAACUUUUUGUUUCUAGAAUUUCAUCAAAUUAAGGAACAAUUUUGAACAAAUUAUUCAGCGAUUUCAAUCACAAAUAAUCUGACAAACAAAUUAUCAGGUCAAACUUCUUCAAAAAUUCCAUCACACAGUUCGAAUUAGAUUGAUUUAUUCAAAAACCUUCACUGUAACAGUUCCAAACAAUCCACUUUGCUUCAAAUUCCAUCAAUUUUGAGGACGUUGUUCUUCCAUAACAAUCUCGUUUUCUACUACGAUCGCAUUCUGAAGGUUGGAGCGGCUGUUGUUACACGAGUUGAUGGAAGAUUAAAACAACGUAGACUUGGAGCACUUUGUAAACAGCUUUGCUGAUCUCCAAAGACCACAAGCCGAACUCGAAGUGUUCAGCCGUUGAACCGAGUGGAAUUAUGUCUUUCUACAAUGUGCUUUUUACUCAGCUAGUUGUGACUUCAUCUCAGCUCCUUGUUACUGAUCGAGAUUUGGGCGAUAUCAACUUCAGAAAGUAGCUUUGUGAGACUGUAAAGCCAUUGUUAAAAUUUCAUGUGAUUCUUUUUUUUGUGAAAAUGAUGCUAUCCGUACCAGGAAGGCUCCUUAUGAGAUUAAGGAGAUUGAAAUCAAGAGCAAUUCAACAAGGUGUGUGUAUUACUAAUAUGACGAGCAAUGGCCAAAGGUAAUACUAAAUUCAAAGAGUCUUUCAAUUGUAUUAACAGUGACUAAUACAGAUAAAAACUCUUUCUCCUUCAAUAAUGCAUUGCAUACACAUUUUAGUGCUUCUGUUACGGGGCCUCAGUAAAAGCUCGCCUAGGUUGUAGAACGCUGAACAAGGAUUCAGACCCUAUGGCUUCAUUUAGUUUCGCUUACUUGUUCAUAUUGUUUUCUUCUCAGGGUAAAUGCUCUCUGUGUUGCACAGAACAAGAUGUGAGUUUCAACUUUCAACGGUUAAUGAAAUUUCAACCUUGCUUAAACACAAGAAGGGAUGCUUCACAGAGAGUAAUCAUGUUCUUCUUUUCUUGGUAAUACUUCAAUGCAGGAAAACAAUUGUCCCCUUGUCAGGACCAGUUGGAAGAUGGAUGGUAUCAAACUAUCAAUGAAUCUGCAGUAGAUUGUCUCUCCCUGGAUUUGCAGUGAUGUUCUCCAGCAUUGGGAACUUGUCAAUAGUUGUUUGUUGUUCUUGAAUUGUUGGCUCAGUUCAUCAUCCGACAGGAUCUCGUUUUUCUGGUUCACGGUUGUCUUUAUGAACCUUAGAACUUAAAUAUAUGACUCGUGUGAAUUCAGGACUUAUUAUUUGUUUUCUUUUGUGAUUCCGAAUCUAAGUGUAAACUGAAUUCAUUUAUGAAAUGUAAACUGAAUUCAGUUAUGAAUUGUGUAACAAAUACAAUGAUUUUUAUUCAACCACUUAUUCAUAAAUCCAAGUUUUA